UUUUAGCCCUGAUAGAAGCGGCAUCCUUUAUAGGUCUCGUUUUUUACGAGACCUAUAAAGAUACAGCGUAUAGCAGGAUGAGCU
rnacentral:sRNA from 1 species